rnacentral:rRNA from 1 species
UACGUAGGGUGCAAGCGUUGUCCGGAAUUCUUGGGCGUAAAGAGCUCGUAGGCGGUUUGUCGCGUCGGCUGUGAAAACCUGGGGCUCAACCCCGGGCCUGCAGCCGAUACGGGCAAACUAGAAUUCGGUAGGGGAGACUGGAAUUCCUGGUGUAGCGGUGAAAUGCGCAGAUAUCAGGAGGAACACCGGUGGCGAAGGCGGGUCUCUGGGCCGAUAUUGACGCUGAGGAGCGAAAGCGUGGGGAGCGAACAGG